rnacentral:rRNA from 1 species
AUAUUCGGAACAUCUUCUUCAGAAGAUGCGGAAUAACGUGACAUAUUGUAUUCAGUUUUGAAUGUUUAUUUAACAUUCAAAUAUUUUUUGGUUAAAGUGAUAUUCCUUUUGAAAAUAAAGCAGUAUGCGAGCGCUUGACUAAAAAGAAAUUGUACAUUGAAAACUAGAUAAGUAAGUAAAAUAUAGAUUUUACCAAGCAAAACCGAGUGAAUAAAGAGUUUUAAAUAAGCUUGAAUUCAUAAGAAAUAAUCGCUAGUGUUCGAAAGAACACUCACAAGAUUAAUAACGCGUUUAAAUCUUUUUAUAAAAGAACGUAACUUCAUGUUAACGUUUGACUUAUAAAAAUGGUGGAAACAUNUUGACGGGGACCCGCACAAGCGGUGGAGCAUGUGGUUUAAUUCGAAGCAACGCGAAGAACCUUACCAAAUCUUGACAUCCUUUGACAACUCUAGAGAUAGAGCCUUCCCCUUCGGGGGACAAAGUGACAGGUGGUGCAUGGUUGUCGUCAGCUCGUGUCGUGAGAUGUUGGGUUAAGUCCCGCAACGAGCGCAACCCUUAAGCUUAGUUGCCAUCAUUAAGUUGGGCACUCUAAGUUGACUGCCGGUGACAAACCGGAGGAAGGUGGGGAUGACGUCAAAUCAUCAUGCCCCUUAUGAUUUGGGCUACACACGUGCUACAAUGGACAAUACAAAGGGCAGCGAAACCGCGAGGUCAAGCAAAUCCCAUAAAGUUGUUCUCAGUUCGGAUUGUAGUCUGCAACUCGACUACAUGAAGCUGGAAUCGCUAGUAAUCGUAGAUCAGCAUGCUACGGUGAAUACGUUCCCGGGUCUUGUACACACCGCCCGUCACACCACGAGAGUUUGUAACACCCGAAGCCGGUGGAGUAACCUUUUAGGAGCUAGCCGUCGAAGGUGGGACAAAUGAUUGGGGUGAAGUCGUAACAAGGUAGCCGUAUCGGAAGGUGCGGCUG